rnacentral:rRNA from 1 species
AUUGAACGCUGGCGGCAGACCUAACACAUGCAAGUCGAGCGGAUGAUGGGAGCUUGCUCCUUGAUUCAGCGGCGGACGGGUGAGUAAUGCCUAGGAAUCUGCCUGGUAGUGGGGGACAACGUUUCGAAAAGAACGCUAAUACCGCAUACGUCCUACGGGAGAAAGCAGGGGACCUUCGGGCCUUGCGCUAUCAGAUGAGCCUAGGUCGGAUUAGCUAGUUGGUGAGGUAAUGGCUCACCAAGGCGACGAUCCGUAACUGGUCUGAGAGGAUGAUCAGUCACACUGGAACUGAGACACGGUCCAGACUCCUACGGGAGGCAGCAGUGGGGAAUAUUGGACAAUGGGCGAAAGCCUGAUCCAGCCAUGCCGCGUGUGUGAAGAAGGUCUUCGGAUUGUAAAGCACUUUAAGUUGGGAGGAAGGGCAGUAAGUUAAUACCUUGCUGUUUUGACGUUACCGACAGAAUAAGCACCGGCUAACUUCGUGCCAGCAGCCGCGGUAACAC